rnacentral:miRNA from 14 species
CCUGAAAACACUGAGGCUGCGU